rnacentral:lncRNA from 1 species
GAAUUGCUCUUUCAAUGUCUGUAAAAAAUUGUGUUGAAUUUUGGUCGGAAGUACAUUGAAUCAGCAGAUUGCUUUGGGUAAGAUGGCCAUGUUCAACAUGUUAAUCCUAUGAAUCCAUGAGUACUGAAGAUCUUUCCAUCUUCUGAGGGUGUCUGUGAUUUCUUUCUUUAGGGACUUGGAGUUCUUGUCAUACAGACUUUUCCCUUGCCAGGUUAGAGUUAUACCAACAUAUUUUAUAUAAUUUGUGGAUACUGUAAUGGGUGUUUUCCCCAAUUUCUUUCUUAGCCCAUUCAUCAUUUAUAUAGAUGAGGACUACUGAUGGUCCUCUUGGAAAAAUUGUUUCUACUUACAAUCCUUGGAGGACCAAAGUAAUCUCACGCAUUCUCAGGCACUUCUUGGGGAUCUUAAAGAAACUGAAAUCAGGCUAGAGAGACAGCUAUGUGGUUAAGAGCACAUCCUAAUCUUACAGAGGAUACAUAUUCCUUUAAAUGAAUCACUGAAAUCUUGUCAUUGAUACUGUUUUACCAUUUGUUUCUGGCUUUUGAGAAGAUGAGAUCCAAAUGUGAGUCUCAUUUCUUGAAAGCAGAGUCUGAGAAAAUAACCUAUCCUCUAAAGUGUUUGCUAUGCAAAACUAGAACCUCAAUUUGGAUUCCUAGUAUUCUAGCCACAUCAAUAAGAUGAGUACUCUAACAUGAUGUAUAAGACCAGAUCUGUGUGAAAGUACUAGAGGAAAUCUGGGUGUUGCUGGUCAGCCCGUCUAAGACAAGUGGUGAGCUCCAAGACCCAGACAGACUCUGUCUCAAAAGAAGAAAAAAGAUGAAGAACAAGGAAGACACCUGACUUUGACCUCUGGGCACCACACAGAAGUGCAAUCACACCUGCAUACAUAUUCAGUAAUGUAUACAUACCAUAUACAUUCAUACCAAAACAAUAUGAAAAGGAAAUAAUAAUAAUAAUAAUAAUAAUAAUAAUAAUAAUAAUAAUAAUAAUAAAAACACAGACUCAUCAACAGAUGGGGCAAUGACUUUCUAAGGUACUUUGUUCUAAAAUCACUAUGGCCAAAGUCAUGAUAUUAUUAAAAAUUAAUAACUCUUAGUAGUAAAAAAAAUUGUGCAAUGCAAUACUUUUAAAGCUAUGAGUUUUGAUGUUUUAGCCAACUGUAUUUUUACAGAGAAGGAGGGUAAAUUAAAAAUACAUUUCUAACAUUCCCUCAAUUAUUAAAUAUGGACUUUAAAAGUGGAAACUCUAAGUUCUUGACACAGUAAUUCCAUUAAUAUUUAAUUACAGUUUUAUCAUUCACCAUGACAAACAUUUUUGUAAUUAUCCUACCAAAAUGUGCUAUGACACUACUUGGCUUAUGACUUGGAUGGAAUAUUUAUUGCAUGUUCAUCACAGAAGUGGAUUCCAAUGAGUAGCCAGUACCUUUGUCUGUGUGCAGUCUGCCAAUUGACAACACAAUACAUUCUUUUAUGUGUGCCUGGUAGCUUUCUUCCCUGCCAGUAGCCCAUUGUUAAAGACAAAUGUUUGAAAAUGUAAGAUUUCUCCCAUGAAAACAUAAAUCUGUGUUUGUGGUAUGGUCUAAUCUCUGUUGUGGGAAUGGAUGUGACAUCACCAUCUGAAAAUUAUGGCUUCCCUCAACCCAGAAUCAGGAUGCAGAUGAUGAUGAAGAAGAAUUUCCUCUUUCAACUCAAGCAAAUGUUGCACUUGUGUAUAAUUCUGUUGCCCAUGCUGAGAGGCAAAUGGACUUAGGCUUUACGAUCAUUUAAUCAGAAUUAUCUUUCCGGAAAUGUCAUGGUUUAUGCAUUCACUAAAGCAAUUCAACUGAGCUCUCCUUCCCCUGCAGAUAAUCCCGGGCUGGAGAAUGCAAAUGUCAUCACUAUAAUCUUAUAAGUCAUGGAAAUGGCCCAGAAAGGAGGAUUUUCAUCCAAGGGUUCAAAUCAAGUCCAUAUUUCCAGGUCCCAAUCACUUCCCUGUGUUCUUUCAUCAAACACUUCCAAUGCACAUCACACCUUAUUAGAAAGAGUUUUUAAAAUUCCACUUUGUCAGAAAGACAUGAUGCAAACAUUGUAUUUUAGGUUGGGAAAACAGCCUGCCACCUACUUAUCUGUUCAGGCCUUCCUCAAUACCUGAUAACACCAGAAAGUUCAGUUGUUUUAGAAAGCCUCUCUCUCUCUCUUUUUUUUCUUCUGAUAUUUUAGUACAUAGUAGAAGCAAUGACAUCAUGUGCUGACCUUUCUCUCUUCAAGAGCUUACACCUUUAAGGCAAGAUGUUUGAACUAAAUGUUAAGCAUAUGUCCUAUCUCUUUCCUGCUUUUGGUUAGCAAUGUCCACAGUACCAUGGAGAAGUUGGAGAAGUUGAAUUAUGGAAGGGUCACUCAAUGGUCUGAGGAUGCAGCUCGGAAUAGAAACCAAAGAGCCAACCUCUUUGGUAAUGUGUUCUAGUUAGAAAAUGCUCAACUUGUUCUCCCAGGGAAGGAAACAUUCCCUGAGAAGAAAAGGGAGAUUUUCCUCAAGGGAGACUAGUCAGGGCUUCCUCACCUCUGCAUGAGCAUCCAUAAUGGUUUGAAAAUAGAAAUAAGAUGUCAAAAUUCAUACCUCAAAAAAGGAAUAGCAAAGGCUAGAGAAGAACCACCCUGACUAGAAGAUUCCAGACAAACUCCCUCACAGACAAACUAAAAAGAACAAACCAACAAAGAAAACAAUUAUGGGGAGGGUAGAAAUGACUCCAUAGUUAGGAGCAUUGGCUGUUCAUACAGAAGGCCCAGGUUAAGUUCCUAGCACCCACAUGGAAGCUCACAAAUACCAGUAAUUGCAGAUUUGGAGGAAUCUCAAGCCCCCUUCUGAUUUCGUCAUGUAAUAAGCACACACUGGGUUUACAUACCUAUGUGCACACAAACACUCAUUUUUGACCUUUCAGGUAUGAACUUUAAAUGUUUUUUCUGACUUUCUUUUUUUGUUGUUGUUGUUGUUUUUUGGGGGUUGGGGUGGGGUUGAGACAGAGUUUCUCUGUAUAACCCUGGCUGUCCUGGAACUCACUUUGUAGACCAGGCUGGCCUCGAACUUAGAAAUCUGCCUGCCUCUGCCUCCCAAGUGCUGGGAUUAAAGGCGUGCACCACCAUGCCCAGCUUAUCUGACUUUCUUAAUAAAAUAUUAUUUGCCUAUUUUCAUCUUUACCAGUAUUUACUUUCUUUUCAUUUUUAAAUUAAAAUUAUUCCCUCUGUCUUCCCCCAAUCCUUCCCAUAACCUUUCCCUCACUCUCUCUCAAAUCGAUGGCUUCAUUUUGCUUAUUGUUGUUGUAGUUACAUGUGUAUACAUAUGUAUGUACAUAUGCAUAAAUACUUAAAUAUAUCCUUCUGAGUCUGUUUCAUAGAGCUUGUGUAUAUAUGAUUUCAGAAAUGAUUAUUUUUUUAUUGAAUGACCAAUUGUGAGGCUCAUCUUGGGAUAGGCUAGUUUCCACAUCUCAGAAGUCACUAGUUGCCUGUGAUUUUUGUUUCUGUAGGAGUGGGAGCCUCUGAGGCGUCUCUUCUUCCUCCUUAGCAUGUCUGUUGCUAUUAUCAUUGUUUGUUUUCUGUUUAGGCCACCAAUGUUAUGAGUGUAGCUUCUCUGUCAGUUCUUGGACACACAUUCUCGCCUUAUUUGGUUUCCAUCUGUAUUUCCAGGUAAGAUGUAGGUUUUCAAUAAAAUCCGUUAACUAUUAUAAUAAAAAUUGCUAGUAAAAUCCAUGCCUGUGGAGGAUGUUCAUUUCCUACAGUUAUUAUAGGAAAACUACAUUGUUCAGAGCAGUUGUAUUUCAUGAGAUACUAAAGAAUUAUUUUUUAAAUUAAUUUUUUUUGUAUUUAGUCAUUUUACACCCAGCUCAUUGCCCCCUCCCACAAUCCUUCCCCAUAACCCCUCCCCUUCUCUCUGAGAAAGUGAGAGCCCCUGGAUAAUCCCUACUCUGGUACUUCAAGUCUCUGUGAGGCUAGGUGCUUCCUCUCCCACUGAGGCCAGACAUGGCAGCCCAGCUAGUAGAACAUAUCCUGCAUAUAGAAAACAGCUUUGUGGAUAGUUCCUAUUCCAGUUGUUCAGGACCCACAUGAAGGUCAAAGUGCACAUCUGCUAUAUAUGGGGCAGGAGGGUAGGUCCAGCCCAUGUAUGCUCUUUGGUUGGUGGCUCAGUCUCUGAGAGCUCUAAGGAUCUAGGUUAGUUGACUCUAUUGGUCUUCCUGUGGAGUUCCUAUCCUCUUCAGAGCCCACACAAUGUGAUAGCAACACAAAAUAUUUUGAGAUGUGUUAAUACUCAUACAGAAGCAGAUGCCAUUAUUGACAUUAGAAUGUCAUGACAUCAAUUAGAGAUUUUCAUCCCAUUUACAAAAUCAAUUUGCAAAAGUAAUGAAGCCACUCUGUCUACUGCCUUUUUCAGAAAGGUAAAACUCAAUUUUCAAAGUGUCCCAUAAAAUAAACUAUCUUAAAUAAGAUUGUAAAAAUUUAAGUUAAAUAGCCAGAUGGAGCUGAGCAACCAUUUGUCAAUCAGUAGCCUGAAAUUCGGUACACAGUGCCAUAAACUUGUAUUAAUCAAUGAUAAACACAGUUUAAUUACUGGGACAGUGGGAAGAAGAUGGGUGCAAUCAUGAAGUGGGUAACCUUCCACCUGACCCACAUUGGUCAGAAUCCAAUGCUGGCCAGAGGGACUAGAGCUCAUGCUGAUGACGUGAUGGUAAAACUCUGUGAGCUCAAUGUGUCUGGUGGUCUUGGCACUAUUCCCGGAGAACUAAAACUCCCGGUGCAUUAGUAAAGACCUCAACUUUGGCCCAAAUGGCAGUCUUUGUUCUGUC